GUCGAGGCGCCAGAGGACACAGGACACAGGCCAGCUGGGCCCGGCGGCGCGCGGCGCGAUCAUCCUGCAGCGUCGACAGGCGGCGCUCAUCGCUGUCGACGACCGACGCGUCGACGGCGCCGGAGUCCGUCGAGACCGACGCGGGCUGCAACAGGGCCCUGCGGCCCGGGAGGGAGACGUUAGUGGGCCGACGGUCGGCGGUGCAGGGGGCUGCGGCGGCGGAGGAGUGGGCCAUAUAUUGAGGAGGAUUAUCAUCAGCUCCAGACGGACGUAGCCCAAAGACAUGUUCAACAUCUACCGAGCGGUAAAGGAGUCCCGGCAGCGUCAGGAGGCCCAGCUGACCGGUCACGACCUGUACUCGAGUCGGGCGGCGCGGGACCGCGCCCUCCGCGAGCAGCAGCAG